GGGCGUGGCAUAAGAGAGUAUAAAAGGGCCAUGUGCAGCUGAGCUGCUCCUGUUUAAAAUGGCGGCGUUUGGAAGGAGCAUAGGUAUUCUUUCUGCUUUCCUUUCAAAAUGGAGCAUCUGUAUCAUGCCUCCAGCCAUCCUUUCACCUUGUUGUACCAGGUGACUCCAGCGGUAAGGUAUAUCGCCCUGUUCCCAGGAUGAUUGGCACACCAAGGUGCAUAUGACUACCAUAUGGAGCACGCAAGGUGAGUAGGGCU